rnacentral:rRNA from 1 species
CGGACGGGAUUACUAAUGGUAGCAAUACCAGAGGGUGAUUCAGUGGCGAACGGGUGCUUAACACGUGGGCAACCUGCCGAGAAGUGGGGGAUAGCUCGCCGAAAGGCGAAUUAAUACCGCAUGUGAUCAGCGGAGACAUCUUCGCGAAAUCAAAGCCCGGGCAACCUGGCGCUUUUUGUGGGGCCCGCGGCCUAUCAGCUUGUUGGUGAGGUAACGGCUUACCAAGGCUUUGACGGGUAGCUGGUCUGAGAGGACGACCAGCCACACUGGGACUGAGACACGGCCCAGACACCUACGGGUGGCAGCAGUCGAGAAUUUUUGACAAUGGGGGAAACCCUGAUCGAGCGACGCCGCGUGGAGGAUGAAGGUCUUCGGGUUGUAAACUCCUGUCAUUUGGGAACAAUGGUUACGCGUUAACUGCGCGUGACUUGAUAGUACCAGAAGAGGAAGAGACGGCUAACUCUGUGCCAGCAGCCGCGGUAAUACAGAGGUCUCAAGCGUUGUUCGGAUUCAUUGGGCGUAAAGGGUGCGUAGGCGGCGCGGUAAGUCGGGUGUGAAAUCUCGGAGCUUAACUCCGAAACUGCAUUCGAUACUGCCGUGCUCGAGGACUGGAGAGGAGACUGGAAUUUACGGUGUAGCAGUGAAAUGCGUAGAUAUCGUAAGGAAGACCAGUGGGGAAGGCGGGUCUCUGGACAGUUCCUGACGCUGAGGCACGAAGGCCAGGGGAGCAAACGGGAUUAGAUACCCCGGUAGUCCUGGCAGUAAACGGUGCACGUUUGGUGUGGGAGGAUUCGACCCCUUCUGCGCCGGAGCUAACGCGUUAAACGUGCCGCCUGGGGAGUACGGUCGCAAGAUUAAAACUCAAAGAAAUUGACGGGGGCCCGCACAAGCG